GCCUAUGCGACGGCAAGGCGUGUACAAGAGUAUCCUGUAAAACCAAAAAGAAGCUCACCACAGAUUUAUAUUAUUAGCUAAAAUUGCGGCGAUUCUAAUCCUGCCAAUAUCGCAGACGGAGGAACGAUAUUUUUUUCAAGAAAUGAACGUCUCAACAGCUGCAGCCUAUUCGGUACUCGACGAUACGUUGACGCCCACCGGCGACGCUAAAUUUAGUGUCAGGUUGGAGAAGCGUCAAGAGCUGCACCCAUUUCACUGGUGUAUUUAUAGAUCAAUUUUUUGGAAUAUAAAUUGAAGUAAGGACAUUAACAUUGGAGCGUGCAUAAAGGAGUUUGUAAGACUUAUCGUGCGUCUUUGUCGUAAGGAAAUCGACCCUUACAGAAUUUCAGCCGCAACUGCGUUUACCGCUUUCUACGCUUGCGAAUCUUUUUUUGGAUAUCUCCGGUCGACAUCGCAUGUCCUCGAGUCAUUGGACAGUGUAGCAGGGACAAACCAGUAAAAUCUGGUAAUACUGGCUCCACCGGUUAGGCGGUUAGCCGUUGAGACGGUUAGAUCAACUGAUAGAUCGCGAGAAAGAAUGAUCAACGAUUGCCUAUAUCUGCUUCGAUAUCAUCGAUUCCUGAUUUAUGAUCAGUCAUCUGAUAAAAGCUAUUGAGUUAAGGAAUUUAGAAACGUUUUGAAAAUCUCAAUAUAUUUUUAGGUAAGUUAAAAAACUUAGAAGAAAAAAAGAUUUUGAAAAAAAGAAAUUAGAUUUUUAUCUUUUAUUGCAUAUUACGAAUUUUCUUUAAGUAAAUAGAUAGAACAUUAAUAAUAUAUAGAUCAUUGGCGAAGAACGAUAUUAAAUUUCCAGAAUUUCUAAUUUGAGAACCACUGAGAUGAUAAAUACGCUAUAUUCAAAGUUAAUGCCACUGACCUAAGCUAAUCGAGUCUUACCGCGCAAAAGACUUGGAACACAGAAAGUGCCUGAAAAUGAUAUUCUCUUCCAUAUUAUUGUUAUAUCUUAUAGAAAAACGUAAAAAAAAAUAUGUUAAAAUAGUUUUAGUAUAUAAGAUUGUAUAAGACACUAUAAGUCUUUAAUUGUAUAAGAUUAUCAAUUUUUCUAAAACAAUUAAAGAUUGGCAUUAAAAAAAGUUGGCGCUUUUCGGUUAUUAUUCUGGUAUUUCCUUGUUAAUAUUUAUCAAAAAAUUUUAUGAAAACUCUUUAAUUAUUAUUUACAGGACU